UGCUGACAAAACAGGAAUGGAUUGGAG
rnacentral:piRNA from 1 species